UACAGAGGUCCCAAGCGUUGUUCGGAUUUACUGGGCGUAAAGGGUGCGUAGGUGGCUAGGUAAGUCUGACGUGAAAUCCCACAGCUUAACUGUGGGACUGCGUCGGAUACUAUCAAGCUAGAGGUAUGGAGGGGAGAUUGGAAUGCUCGGUGUAGCAGUGAAAUGCGUAGAUAUCGAGCGGAACACCAGUGGCGAAGGCGAAUCUCUGGACACUACCUGACACUGAGGCACGAAAGCCAGGGGAGCAAACGGG
rnacentral:rRNA from 1 species